AGCAGUAGCCGCGGUAAUACGAGGGGGGCAAGCGUUGUUCGGAAUUAUUGGGCGUAAAGGGUGCGUAGGCGGCUUGACAAGUCUUGUGUGAAAUCUAUGGGCUCAACCCAUAGUCUGCACGGGAAACUGUCGGGCUUGAGAAUGGGAGAGGUGAGUGGAAUUUCCGGUGUAGCGGUGAAAUGCGUAGAUAUCGGAAGGAACACCUGUGGCGAAAGCGGCUCACUGGACCAUUACUGACGCUGAGGCGCGAAAGCUAGGGGAGCAAACAGGAUUAGAUACCCCGGUAGUCCCUGUCUCUUAUAC
rnacentral:rRNA from 1 species